CCUACGGGAGGCAGCAGUAGGGAAUCUUCCACAAUGGGCGAAAGCCUGAUGGAGCAACGCCGCGUGGGUGAAGAAGGUCUUCGGAUCGUAAAACCCUGUUGUUAGAGAAGAAAGUGCGUGAGAGUAACUGUUCACGUUUCGACGGUAUCUAACCAGAAAGCCACGGCUAACUACGUGCCAGCCGCCGCGGUAAUACGUAGGUGGCAAGCGUUAUCCGGAUUUAGUGGGCGUAAAGGGAACGCAGGCGGUCUUUUAAGUCUGAUGUGGAAGCCGUCGGCUUAACCGGAGUAGUGCAUUGGAAACUGGGAGACUUGAGUGCAGAAGAGGAGAGUGGAACUCCAUGUGUAGCGGUGAAAUGCGUAGAUAUAUGGAAGAACACCAGUGGCGAAAGCGGAUCUCUGGUCUGUAACUGACGCUGAGGUUCGAAAGCGUGGGUAGCAAACAGGAUUAGAUACCCCAGUAGUC
rnacentral:rRNA from 1 species